GACGAACGCUGGCGGCGUGCUUAACACAUGCAAGUCGAACGGUAAGGCCCUUCGGGGUACACGAGUGGCGAACGGGUGAGUAACACGUGGGUGAUCUGCCCUGCACUUCGGGAUAAGCCUGGGAAACUGGGUCUAAUACCGGAUAGGACCACUGCCUGCAUGGGUGGUGGAAAGCUUUUGCGGUGUGGGAUGGGCCCGCGGCCUAUCAGCUUGUUGGUGGGGUGAUGGCCUACCAAGGCGACGACGGGUAGCCGGCCUGAGAGGGUGACCGGCCACACUGGGACUGAGAUACGGCCCAGACUCCUACGGGAGGCAGCAGUGGGGAAUAUUGCACAAUGGGCGCAAGCCUGAUGCAGCGACGCCGCGUGAGGGAUGACGGCCUUCGGGUUGUAAACCUCUUUCAGCACCGACGAAGCGCAAGUGACGGUAGGUGCAGAAGAAGGACCGGCCAACUACGUGCCAGCCGCCGCCGUAA
rnacentral:rRNA from 1 species